CCAUCCUACGGGACGCAGCAGUGAGGAAUAUUGGUCAAUGGCCGAGAGGCUGAACCAGCCAAGUCGCGUGAGGGAUGACGGCCCUACGGGUUGUAAACUUCUUUUAUAUGGGAAUAAAGUUUUCCACGUGUGGAAUUUUGUAUGUACCAUAUGAAUAAGGAUCGGCUAACUCCGUGCCAGCAGCCGCGGUAAUACGGAGGAUCCGAGCGUUAUCCGGAUUUAUUGGGUUUAAAGGGAGCGUAGGUGGAUUGUUAAGUCAGUUGUGAAAGUUUGCGGCUCAACCGUAAAAUUGCAGUCGAAACUGG
rnacentral:rRNA from 1 species